CUCAAAGGAAUUGACGGGGGCCCGCACAAGCGGCGGAGCAUGCGGAUUAAUUCGAUGCAACGCGAAGAACCUUACCAAGGCUUGACAUAUAGAAGAACACCGCAGAGAUGCGGGACUCUUUGGACACUUCUAUACAGGUGGUGCAUGGUUGUCGUCAGCUCGUGUCGUGAGAUGUUCGGUUAAGUCCGGCAACGAGCGCAACCCUCGUCCUAUGUUGCCAGCACGUUAUGGUGGGAACUCAUGGGAUACUGCCGUGGUCAACACGGAGGAAGGUGGGGAUGACGUCAAAUCAUCAUGCCCCUUAUGUCUUGGGCUUCACGCAUGCUACAAUGGCCGGUACAAAGGGCUGCGAUACCGCGAGGUGGAGCGAAUCCCAAAAAGCCGGUCUCAGUUCGGAUUGGGGUCUGCAACUCGACCCCAUGAAGUCGGAGUCGCUAGUAAUCGCAGAUCAGCAACGCUGCGGUGAAUACGUUCCCGGGCCUUGUACACACCGCCCGUCAAGUCAUGAAAGUCGGUAACACCCGAAGCCGGUGGCCUAACCCCUUGUGGG
rnacentral:rRNA from 1 species